rnacentral:rRNA from 1 species
AGACUUCGGUCCCAAGUAGAGUGGCGCACGGGUGAGUAACGCGUAGAUAACCUGUCUUCAUGUCUGGAAUAAUACGCCGAAAGGGGUACUAAUACCGGAUAUUCUUGUUUUUCAUAAGGUUGACAAGAAAAGGUGGCCUCCGCAUAUGCUACUGCAUGAAGAGGGGUCUGCGUACCAUUAGCUAGUAGGUGGGGUAAGGGCCUACCUAGGCAACGAUGGUUAGCGGGUCUGAGAGGAUGAUCCGCCACACUGGCACUGGAACACGGGCCAGACUCCUACGGGAGGCAGCAGUGAGGAAUAUUGCGCAAUGGGGGCAACCCUGACGCAGCGACACCGCGUGAGUGAGGAAGGCCUUCGGGUCGUAAAGCUCUGUCAAGAGGAAAGAAGUGCAUAGCGGUUAAUACCCGUUGUGUUUGACGGUACCUCUAAAGGAAGCACCGGCUAACUCCGUGCCAGCAGCCGCGGUAAUACGGAGGGUGCAAGCGUUGUUCGGAAUCACUGGGCGUAAAGGGCGCGUAGGCGGUUUGAUAAGUCAGAUGUGAAAGCCCAUGGCCUAACUGUGGAAGUGCAUUUGAAACUGUCAGACUUGAGUACCAGAGGGGAAAGUGGAAUUCCCGGUGUAGAGGUGAAA